GGAGUGAUAGCUCAGCGGUAGAGGUAAAACAACCACAUCCUCCCAAUCUCAGUCUCGAUAAAACACCAUACUAACAAUUUGUGCAGCAGGAGAUUGCAGUCCUCAGGCUAAUAUCUCAAGGUCCCGUGUUCAAUCCACGGUCGCUCCU